UACGGAGGAUCCGAGCGUUAUCCGGAUUUAUUGGGUUUAAAGGGUGCGUAGGUGGUUGUAUAAGUUAUAGGUGAAAGCUUGACGCUUAACGUCGAAAUAGCCUGUAAUACUGUAUAGCUAGAGACCAGUUGCAGAAGGCGGAAUGUGUGGUGUAGCGGUGAAAUGCUUAGAUAUCACACAGAACACCGAUUGCGAAGGCAGCUUUCUAAGCUGGUUCUGACACUGAUGCACGAAAGCGUGGGGAUCAAACAGG
rnacentral:rRNA from 1 species